GUUUUUCGGGGUUGGGUGUAAUUCCCUACCGGCGGUAUAGUCCGCGACCCGUGGUGCAAGCCCGGCUGAUCCGGUGACAGUAAUGGAUUCCGGAACCGACAGUAAUAGUCUGGAUGGUAGAAUG
rnacentral:ncRNA from 1 species